CCUACGGGUGGCAGCAGUGAGGAAUUUUGGGCAAUGGAGGCAACUCUGAUCCAGCCACGCCGCGUGCGUGAAGAAGGUUUUCGGAUUGUAAAGCUCUUUCGGAUGUGACGAUUAUGACGGUAGCAUCUAAAGAAGCACCGGCUAACUUCGUGCCAGCAGCCGCGGUAAUACGUAGGAGGUAAGCGUUGUUCGGAGUUCCUGGGCGUAAAGGGAGGGUAGGCGGUUUAGUAAGAUAGUGGUGAAAUCCCAGAGCUUAACAUUGGAAUUGCCAUUAUAACCAUUAGACUAGAAUUACAGAGAGGAUAGUGGAAUACCCAGUGUAGAGGUGAAAUUCGUAGAUAUUGGGUAGAACACCAGUGGCGAAGGCGACUAUCUGGCUGUACAUUGACGCUGAGGCUCGAAAGCAUGGGGAUCAAACAGGAUUAGAUACCCCGGUAGUC
rnacentral:rRNA from 1 species